AUCGCUUCUCGGCCUUUUGGCUAAGAUCAAGUGUAGUUAUGGUUGCUGCCUCCUAUUUUUCACUUCUCUUUAGGUUGGAUGGUGAUCAACUUUACACAGUGACAUGGAAUUGACUGAUAUUACAGUGAUUUAAAAAUAAAACUAUUUUAUCCUUUUCGAUUAUGAUUUCAUAUGAGAAAUGGCUUUUAGACCAAGUGUCUAUAAACCAG
ensembl:snRNA LOC120102762 U2 spliceosomal RNA